AUUGAACGCUGGCGGCAGGCCUAACACAUGCAAGUCGAGCGGGGUUUUCGGACCUAGCGGCGGACGGGUGAGUAAUGCGUAGGAAGCUACCCGAUAGAGGGGGAUACCAGUUGGAGACGACUGUUAAUACCGCAUAAUGUCUACGGACCAAAGUGUGGGACCUUCGGGCCACAUGCUAUCGGAUGCGCCUACGUGGGAUUAGCUAGUUGGUGAGGUAAUGGCUCACCAAGGCGACGAUCCCUAGCUGGUUUGAGAGGAUGAUCAGCCACACUGGAACUGAGACACGGUCCAGACUCCUACGGGAGGCAGCAGUGGGGAAUAUUGGACAAUGGGCGCAAGCCCGAUCCAGCCAUGCCGCGUGUGUGAAGAAGGCCUUCGGGUUGUAAAGCACUUUCAGUAGGGAGGAAGCGUUGUGUGUUAAUAGUACACAGCGUUGACGUUACCUACAGAAGAAGCACCGGCUAACUCUGUGCCAGCCGCCGCUGUAAAAC
rnacentral:rRNA from 1 species